rnacentral:rRNA from 1 species
AUUGAACGCUGGCGGCAGGCUUAACACAUGCAAGUCGAGCGGAGAUGAGGUGCUUGCACCUUAUCUUAGCGGCGGACGGGUGAGUAAUGCUUAGGAAUCUGCCUAUUAGUGGGGGACAACAUUCCGAAAGGAAUGCUAAUACCGCAUACGUCCUACGGGAGAAAGCAGGGGAUCUUCGGACCUUGCGCUAAUAGAUGAGCCUAAGUCGGAUUAGCUAGUUGGUGGGGUAAAGGCCUACCAAGGCGACGAUCUGUAGCGGGUCUGAGAGGAUGAUCCGCCACACUGGGACUGAGACACGGCCCAGACUCCUACGGGAGGCAGCAGUGGGGAAUAUUGGACAAUGGGCGGAAGCCUGAUCCAGCCAUGCCGCGUGUGUGAAGAAGGCCUUUUGGUUGUAAAGCACUUUAAGCGAGGAGGAGGCUACCUAGAUUAAUACUCUGGGAUAGUGGACGUUACUCGCAGAAUAAGCACCGGCUAACUCUGUGCCAGCCGCCGCCGUAACAC